UCCGGGGUUCUCCCCGGUGCACUUCGCCGUGUCCAGGCCAGCAUCAGUUCGUCGCGGGGGAAAGAGGCUUCGGGAACGUGGCUCCCCUGGGAGUGUUAUAGCCCGUUGCAUAAUACCCUGCGGUGGACUGAGGACCGCGCAUCUGCAAGGAUGCUGGCGUAAUGGUCACCAGCGAC
rnacentral:rRNA from 1 species